rnacentral:rRNA from 1 species
AGAGUUUGAUCCUGGCUCAGGACGAACGCUGGCGGCGCGCCUAACACAUGCAAGUCGAACGGAGUCAAGAGGAGCUUGCUUUUCUUGACUUAGUGGCGAACGGGUGAGUAACGCGUGAGUAACCUGCCCUGGAGUGGGGGACAACAGUUGGAAACGACUGCUAAUACCGCAUAAGCCCACGGCCCGGCAUCGGGCUGCGGGAAAAGGAUUUAUUCGCUUCAGGAUGGACUCGCGUCCAAUUAGCUAGUUGGUGAGGUAACGGCCCACCAAGGCGACGAUUGGUAGCCGGACUGAGAGGUUGAACGGCCACAUUGGGACUGAGACACGGCCCAGACUCCUACGGGAGGCAGCAGUGGGGGAUAUUGCACAAUGGGGGAAACCCUGAUGCAGCGACGCCGCGUGGAGGAAGAAGGUUUUCGGAUUGUAAACUCCUGUCGUUAGGGACGAUAAUGACGGUACCUAACAAGAAAGCACCGGCUAACUACGUGCCAGCAGCCGCGGUAAAACGUAGGGUGCAAGCGUUGUCCGGAAUUACUGGGUGUAAAGGGAGCGCAGGCGGACCGGCAAGUUGGAAGUGAAAACUAUGGGCUCAACCCAUAAAUUGCUUUCAAAACUGCUGGCCUUGAGUAGUGCAGAGGUAGGUGGAAUUCCCGGUGUAGCGGUGGAAUGCGUAGAUAUCGGGAGGAACACCAGUGGCGAAGGCGACCUACUGGGCACCAACUGACGCUGAGGCUCGAAAGCAUGGGUAGCAAACAGGAUUAGAUACCCUGGUAGUCCAUGCCGUAAACGAUGAUUACUAGGUGUUGGAGGAUUGACCCCUUCAGUGCCGCAGUUAACACAAUAAGUAAUCCACCUGGGGAGUACGACCGC